UACGUAGGGGGCAAGCGUUGUCCGGAUUUAUUGGGCGUAAAGAGCGUGUAGGCGGUUUGGUAGGUCCGUUGUGAAAACCCGCGGCUCAACCUCGAGACGCCGAUGGAAACCAUCUGACUAGAGUCCGGAAGAGGAGAGUGGAAUUCCUGGUGUAGCGGUGAAAUGCGCAGAUAUCAGGAAGAACACCAGUGGCGAAGGCGGCUCUCUGGUACGUGACUGACGCUGAGACGCGAAAGCGUGGGGAGCGAACAGG
rnacentral:rRNA from 1 species